GAAUGAGGCGAUGAUUCGGUUAUUUCCCAACUGGUUUUGUCGCUGAAAUGAUGGCAUAAAUGUAUUAGCUCUACAUACUGUUA